rnacentral:ncRNA from 1 species
GGCGGUUGUUCCUAUAGCAAAGUGUGGCAGUCCGGUUUCGGAGACGCGGACGACCAUGCACAACUGUCGGGGACAGGGUAGAGGUAGUCCGUGAUAGCUGACGCUCUAAGUUGUAUCGUGCUGACUGCAUGAUAAUAAGGGGCAUUUGCAUGUAUGGCUUCUAACCAUUAAGUUAUAAUUUAUUUAUAACGACAAUGGAUGUGAUGCCAUGUAAUUUGUACAUAGUAAAUAGGAGGAUCUUCGAUCACCUGAUGCCGCGCUAGUUACAUAUAAAAGCAUUAUUUAAUACAAUGACAAAGCCUAGAAUCAAUUGUAAACGACUUUUGUAACAGGCAAGGUGUUGUAAGUGGUUGAGCAGCUGCCAUACUGCGAUCCACUGAAGCUUAUCCUUUGCUUGAUGAUUCGA